rnacentral:rRNA from 1 species
UACAGAGACUGCAAGCGUUAUUCGGAUUCACUGGGCGUAAAGCGCGUGUAGGCGGCUUGGUAAGUCUGCUCUGAAAGCCCGGGGCUCAACCCUGGGAGGCGGGUGGAUACUGCUGGGCUCGAGUCCGGAAGAGGCGAGUGGAAUUCCUGGUGUAGCGGUGGAAUGCGCAGAUAUCAGGAGGAACACCAAUGGCGAAGGCAGCUCGCUGGGACGGUACUGACGCUAAGGCGCGAAAGCGUGGGGAGCGAACAGG